ensembl:lncRNA
GUGACAGCUAGCAGCAGCAGGUCCAGCCAGGAGGCACAGCACCCUGCAACCUCCAGGGGCCUUUGUGCAACAGCAGAUGUUGAUGCCCUAGAAGCACGGUGCGGAGCACAUCCUGGGAUCAAGGUGCCACGGACUGGAAAAUGCUGCUGUGGCGGAGUUCCUGUGUGAAGACAAAACUCCCAGUCCCCCAGAAAUGUGGAGGCAGAAGAGCAGUGACAAGGCAUUGUGUUUAACUUAAAAAACUUAAAAAAUGAACGGACGAAGAAUAGCUUUGUUUGCAUUCUGGUGACUGCUGAGGCUUUGGCUGACGACAGCUUUCAGCUGCACCUGAACUAGGCUGGAUUUGUCUCCUGCUCUCCAUAGGUGUAUGGGAACUGUAUAAUCACAGCCUGACCCUCUGUUUGACCACCUGAGGCGAGUGCUGAGUCAGCUGCAGGGGCACAGGUGAUGGCAAUUUCAGCUGAGUGACCGGAAGGGGUGGACCCUGGCUGCAGCCCUGCUAGACCCCAUGUAAGGGCUGACUCCCAAGGAGGAAGGAUCUCUAUCUGGAGGUCACCCUUAGUGGAGCCCUUCUGCGCGCCCAGGGUACGGGGACCUCCUUUGACCCAGGCCUCCAACGGAAGUGUACCACUGGUUAACCCAGAAUGGCAACUGUAGACCAAGGCUAUCACAGGCACAGUUUUCCCUUAGCCAGGGAGCGGAAAGGACUCAGUCCAGUAAAUGAAGAUGGAACUGCUUACCCCUUUGUGAGGAGGAGGGCUCACACCAUACUAAACAAGAGCAGAAUUUGAAGCAGUGAU